rnacentral:rRNA from 1 species
GUAGGGUGCGAGCGUUAAUCGGAAUUACUGGGCGUAAAGCGUGCGCAGGCGGUUCGUUGUGUCGGUGGUGAAAGCCCCGGGCUUAACCUGGGAAUGGCCAUGGAAACUGGCGAACUGGAGUGUGGCAGAGGGGGGUGGAAUUCCGCGUGUAGCAGUGAAAUGCGUAGAGAUGCGGAGGAACACCGAUGGCGAAGGCAGCCCCCUGGGCUGACACUGACGCUCAGGCACGAAAGCGUGGGGAGCAAACAGGAUUAGAUACCCUGGUAGUCCACGCCCUAAACCAUGUCAACUAGGUGUUCGGGAAGCGAUUUCUGAGUACCGUAGCUAACGCGUGAAGUUGACCGCCUGGGGAGUACGGCCGCAAGGUUA